rnacentral:rRNA from 1 species
GACGAACGCUGGCGGCGUGCUUAACACAUGCAAGUCGAGCGGUAAGGCCCUUUCGGGGGUACACGAGCGGCGAACGGGUGAGUAACACGUGGGUGACCUGCCUCUAGCUCUGGGAUAAGCCCGGGAAACUGGGGUCUAAUACUGGAUAUGACUCCAUGACGCAUGUUGUGGGGUGGAAAGCCUUGUGCGGCUAGAGAUGGGCCCGCGGCCUAUCAGCUUGUUGGUGGGGGAUGGCCUACCAAGGCGACGACGGGUAGCCGGCCUGAGAGGGCGACCGGCCACACUGGGACUGAGACACGGCCCAGACUCCUACGGGAGGCAGCAGUGGGGAAUCUUGCGCAAUGGGCGAAAGCCUGACGCAGCGACGCCGCGUGAGGGAUGACGGCCU